rnacentral:tRNA from 1 species
GAAGGUUCAGCUCAGUGGUGGAGGGCAUGCUUAGUAUGCAGAAGGUCCUGGGUUCAAUCCCCAGUGCCUCCA